UACGAGGGGGGCAAGCGUUGUUCGGAAUUAUUGGGCGUAAAGCGCGCGCAGGUGGUUUCUUAAGUCUGAUGUGAAAGCCCACGGCUCAACCGUGGAGGGUCAUUGGAAACUGGGAGACUUGAGUGCAGAAGAGGAAAGUGGAAUUCCAUGUGUAGCGGUGAAAUGCGUAGAGAUAUGGAGGAACACCAGUGGCGAAGGCGACUUUCUGGUCUGUAACUGACACUGAGGCGCGAAAGCGUGGGGAGCAACAG
rnacentral:rRNA from 1 species